GCCAGGCGAAUCAUGCUGUUUUUCGGCGUUAGCGCACUAGGCCAUGGUGGCUAAUUUGUUAGCGAUGCUUGUUGCAGACCUCAUAGUUGGUGUAAAAUGGACUAGUUUUUGCUUUGAACUGUUCAUGUUACGUCCUGGAGCCUUUUAAUCAAGAUUACAAGGUGUUGUUUUCGUCAACGAACCUUUUUGACGUGACGGAGACGAGACGAGACGCAAUGUAAAUGCUGGUCAUGUGACGAUAACUAUAACGAAAUAUAUCGUGUAAUAUUGUUGACGAAUAAAAACGAGACUAAAUUUGGUUUACAAAAAUUUCGUUGACGAAAACAAGACGAGACGUUAUUUCCUCUCGUUUAAUCGCGUUAUUAUUAUUAUGCAGUAUUUCUGUUUCCUAGCUGUGUCUCCCAUUCGGGCACACAGAUGGCGGAGAAAUGCGGCUACAAAAUAUCGGGAAAAAACACCACAAACCUUAAAACCUUAAAAGACAUCCCAAGCCAUUCCACAAUGACAUUGAGAUUCCAGAAACAGCUUCAGUGAAGCAAGUCCCGCGCAAGAAGAUGGACAUUAUUUUAUUUAUUUAUUUCAUUUAAAUUUGUGUGUACUUCUAAGUUCAAACAUGUUUGGUUGGCAAAAUAAAUGUUAUAAAUUCAAA